GACGAACGCUGGCGGCGUGCUUAACACAUGCAAGUCGAACGGAAAGGCCCUGCUUGCAGGGUACUCGAGUGGCGAACGGGUGAGUAACACGUGGGUGAUCUGCCCUGCACUUCGGGAUAAGCCUGGGAAACUGGGUCUAUAACCGCAUAGAGGCGCUCCUGAUGCUGGGGGUGGGAAGGUUUUUUGGGGCUGGGAUGAGAUGGCGGGCUGCCAGUUUGUUGGUGGGGUAAGGGACUACCAAGGCGGCGUCGGGUAGGCCGCCUGGGGGGGUGGACGGCCACAUUGGGACUUGGGUAAGGCCCAGACUCCUACGGGGGGCAGGCGGGGGGAAUAUUGCACAAUGGGCGCAAGCCUGAUGCAGCGACGCCGCGUGGGGGAUGACGGCCUUCGGGGUGGAAAAUCGUUUCGCUAGGGACGAAGCUGUUUGUGACGGUACCGAGUAAAGAAGCACCGGCUAACUACGUG
rnacentral:rRNA from 1 species